ensembl:snRNA U6 U6 spliceosomal RNA
GUGCUCAAUUCAACAGCACAUAUGCCGAACUUGAAAUAACACAGAGAUGAUUAGCAUGGCUCCUGCAUUAGGGUAACACGUGGAUUUAUGAAGCAUUCCAUAAUUUU